UACAGGGGGUGCAAACGUUGCUCGGAAUCAUUGGGCGUAAAGCGCACGUAGGCGGAUAUUUAAGUCAGGGGUGAAAUCCCAGAGCUCAACUCUGGAACUGCCUUUGAUACUGGGUAUCUCGAGUAUGGAAGAGGUGAGUGGAGUUCCGAGUGUAGAGGUGAAAUUCGUAGAUAUUCGGAGGAACACCAGUGGCGAAGGCGGCUCACUGGUCCAUUACUGACGCUGAGGUGCGAAAGCGUGGGGAGCAAACAGG
rnacentral:rRNA from 1 species